AUUAUUAACAUGUUCUCAUCUUGUUCACGGAAUUCUCUGGUGUCUUAACCCCGAGGGAAGCUCAAGCAAGAGCUGAGGUGGCAAGGCUUGACAUCGGUCAAGUAUUCGAUGCGCCUCCCUCUGAACCAAGGACGCAGACAGGUCGGGCGCUUAUGGCCCGCAGGAGAAUAGCUGAUCGAAAGACGAUGGCCGUACCUCAGCAAGUGAACGAGUGCCCCGCCCACAUUAUGAUGGUGGACCCUAAUUGCGUCACACCCGACCAGUGCACAACAGAUGCGAACUGUGAAAAAGGGGAGCUCUGUUGCACUUCACCAUGUGCAAGAUAUUGCAAGGGUCCUGGAUUUCCCCGAAAACACGACCGGUGGCAAUCCUUGGCUUUUCCUAAACGGAAAAAAGACGAGUUGAAUGGUUUCCUAGUUCUUCAUAAAGCACAACAUUAAUGUUGUUAAUAACACUUAAGUGUAUGUUGAAAACGGCUGAUAUAUUAUUGAAUUAUAUCAAAGUUAUCAAUGAUAAUCUUUUCUUUACUGAAAAACAACAUUGUUUUAGUAAUAUAAAGAAUAAAACAAAAUCUUAC